GAUCUUGAAGGUCCAUCAACACCAUCAUAGCCACCUGCUUGAGAGCCACUCAGGAGCAGCAGGACCAACCCCCAUCAGUCUCAGGGAGGGGCCCAUUGGGUACCAUGGCUCAAACUCAGCUCAUUCGGCAUGGAAGCAAGCAAAGUUACCCACUGAGCCUUCACGUAGCAUUCUUACACUGGUGGGACUCUCUUCGAAAAGACACAAAUGCCUCAGAGAGAGCAGAGCAGGCAGACUGAAGCUCUGUCAGCAAAUAAAAUCGAAUCAGCCUGACUUGUGAUAUUUACUGGCUUGCAGCAACCCGACCGCAGGUAUGGAUCUUGGCUACCAGUGCUUGGUCUAAGGACCGCUUUGCUGUGUGGCGUUCUUGUGGCUCUGGCUAACUGGUACCCAGGAGACGGUCCAGCACAUCUCCAAGAGGACAUCCAAAUGGCCUACC
rnacentral:lncRNA from 1 species